rnacentral:rRNA from 1 species
UACGUAGGGGGCAAGCGUUGUCCGGAAUUAUUGGGCGUAAAGAGUGUGUAGGCGGCCAGAUAAGUCCGCUGUGAAAUCUCGAGGCUCAACUUCGAGCUGUCGGUGGAAACUAUCUGGCUAGAGUCCGGAAGAGGAGAAUGGAAUUCCUGGUGUAGCGGUGAAAUGCGCAGAUAUCAGGAAGAACACCCGUGGCGAAGGCGGUUCUCUGGGACGGUACUGACGCUGAGGAGCGAAAGUGUGGGGAGCGAACAGG